rnacentral:rRNA from 1 species
ACCUCACGCUAUCAGAUGAGCCUAGGUCGGAUUAGCUAGUUGGUGGGGUAAAGGCCUACCAAGGCGACGAUCCGUAACUGGUCUGAGAGGAUGAUCAGUCACACUGGAACUGAGACACGGUCCAGACUCCUACGGGAGGCAGCAGUGGGGAAUAUUGGACAAUGGGCGAAAGCCUGAUCCAGCCAUGCCGCGUGUGUGAAGAAGGUCUUCGGAUUGUAAAGCACUUUAAGUUGGGAGGAAGGGCAGUAAGUUAAUACCUUGCUGUUUUGACGUUACCAACAGAAUAAGCACCGGCUAACUUCGUGCCAGCAGCCGCGGUAAUACGAAGGGUGCAAGCGUUAAUCGGAAUUACUGGGCGUAAAGCGCGCGUAGGUGGUUCAGCAAGUUGGAUGUGAAAUCCCCGGGCUCAACCUGGGAACUGCAUCCAAAACUACUGAGCUAGAGUACGGUAGAGGGUGGUGGAAUUU